UUUAAGUGUAGCCAUAAAUUUCCGUGUUCAAUUUUGAUCGUCCGUCUUAUUAGUAUUUUUAUUGUUAUUGGAUGACAAAAUAUGAAUAAUACUUUAUGCAUAACUUAGUUUUUAAUUUUUUUUCAAAAAAGUUUCAAAUAAAACGAACAAUCAAAGUUGGGCACAGAAAAUCAUGGCUGCACUUAAA
rfam:Oryza glumipatula chromosome 2, whole genome shotgun sequence.